rnacentral:lncRNA from 1 species
UGGGCAUGGAUGAGGGUUUUAUACUUAUUUUGGGUAUAAAAAAAUAAGAUAUAAAUAGAACCCUAACAGAACACUGACGGCGGGAGCCGAAGUGAACAUUUUUUAUUUUUCAAGGGGCAAAGUAUAGGUUUUUGAAUGACAGGGGGAAAGUAAAAAAACGGAUAUUGACAGGAGGGUUUUCUGUAAUUUAGUCUUAAAAAAAACUUAGUUUCUAUAUUAUUUGAGUGUGGUGAGAGGAGGUGGGGUUAGAAGGAGUUAGAUAGUGCUUAAUUAGACAAAAUAUAUAUUUUUUAUAACAUUUUAAAUAGAACUAUAGAAAAUUAUUUGUUAUCAUGAAAUUACUUGUAUUUACAGAUAAUUUUGAUUAUUAAAGGUUA